GACAGAGGGUGCAAACGUUGUUCGGAAUUACUGGCGUAAAGCGUGUGUAGGCGGUCCGCUAAGUCGGGUGUGAAAGCCCUGGGCUCAACCCAGGAAGUGCACUCGAAACUGGCGGGCUAGAGUAUCGGAGAGGUUGGUGGAAUUCUCGGUGUAGAGGUGAAAUUCGUAGAUAUCGAGAGGAACACCGGUGGCGAAGGCGGCCAACUGGACGAAUACUGACGCUGAGACACGAAAGCGUGGGGAGCAAACAGG
rnacentral:rRNA from 1 species